GCGCUGGAAGUGCUGCUUGGUGGCACACCGCCCUACCGGGGCGGAGGCCCAGGUUCAAAUCCUGGCCGGCGCUCGA
rnacentral:tRNA from 1 species